rnacentral:rRNA from 1 species
GACGUAGGGCGCGAGCGUUGUCCGGAUUUAUUGGGCGUAAAGAGCUCGUAGGCGGCUUGUCGCGUCGACUGUGAAAACCCACGGCUCAACUGUGGGCUUGCAGUCGAUACGGGCAGGCUAGAGUUCGGUAGGGGAGACUGGAAUUCCUGGUGUAGCGGUGAAAUGCGCAGAUAUCAGGAGGAACACCGGUGGCGAAGGCGGGUCUCUGGGCCGAUACUGACGCUGAGGAGCGAAAGCGUGGUGAGCGAACAGG